UACAGAGGUCUCGAGCGUUAGGCGGAAUCACUGGGCUUAAAGCGUGUGUAGGCGGGUCGUUAAGUACCUUGUGAAAUCCCAUGGCUCAACCAUGGAACUGCUGGGUAUACUGGCGAUCUUGUGCAACCUAGGGGCGAGCGGAACAGAUGGUGGAGCGGUGAAAUGCGUAGAUAUCGGGAGGAACACCAGUGGCGAAGGCGGCUGUCUGGGCCAGUUCUGACGCUGAGGCGCGAAAGCGUGGGGAGCAAACAGG
rnacentral:rRNA from 1 species